rnacentral:rRNA from 1 species
UUCGCCCUUAGAGUUUGAUCCUGGCUCAGAACGAACGCUGGCGGCAGGCUUAACACAUGCAAGUCGAGCGAUCCCUUCGGGGAUAGCGGCAGACGGGUGAGUAACGCGUGGGAACUUGCCCAGGGGUACGGAAUAACUCAGGGAAACUUGAGCUAAUACCGUAUACGUCCUGAGGGAGAAAGAUUUAUCGCCCUUGGAUGGGCCCGCGUUGGAUUAGCUUGUUGGUGGGGUAACGGCCUACCAAGGCGACGAUCCAUAGCUGUUCUGAGAGGAAGAUCAGCCACACUGGGACUGAGACACGGCCCAGACUCCUACGGGAGGCAGCAGUGGGGAAUCUUGGACAAUGGGCGCAAGCCUGAUCCAGCCAUGCCGCGUGAGUGAUGAAGGCCCUAGGGUUGUAAAGCUCUUUCACCGGUGACGAUAAUGACGGUAACCGGAGAAGAAGCCCCGGCUAACUUCGUGCCAGCAGCCGCGGUAAUACGAAUGGGGCUAGCGUUGUUCGGAAUUACUGGG